AAUGAACGUUGGCGGCGUGGAUUAGGCAUGCAAGUCGAGCGAGAACCCCGCAAGGGGGGACAGCGGCGAAAGGGACAGUAAUGUGUAGAUUAUCUGCCCUCAGGUCCGGGAUAGCUGCGGGAAACUGCAGGUAAUACCGGAUAACAUCUCCGGAUCAAAGGUGUGAUUCCGCCUGAGGAUGAGUCUGCAUCCUAUUAGCUAGUUGGUGGGGUAAUGGCCUACCAAGGCAUUGAUGGGUAGCAGGUGUGAGAGCACGACCUGCGUCAUUGGGACUGAGACACUGCCCAGACACCUACGGGGGGCUGCAGUCGAGAAUCGUCGGCAAUGGGCGCAAGCCUGACCGAGCGACGCCGCGUGUGGGAUGAAGGCCUUCGGGUUGUAAACCACUGUCAGAGGGGAUGAAAUGCAGGUGGGUUCUCCCAUCUGUUUGACAUAGCCUCAGAGGAAGGACGGGCUAAGUUCGUG
rnacentral:rRNA from 1 species